AGCGAACGCUGGCGGUAGGCCUAACACAUGCAAGUCGAACGGCAGCACAGCAGUAGCAAUACUGUGGGUGGCGAGUGGCGGACGGGUGAGGAAUACAUCGGAAUCUACCUUUUCGUGGGGGGAUAACGUAGGGAAACUUACGCUAAUACCGCAUACGACCUUAGGGUGAAAGCGGAGGACCUUCGGGCUUCGCGCGGAUAGAUGAGCCGAUGUCGGAUUAGCUAGUUGGCGGGGAAAGGCCCACCAACGGCUACGAUCCGUAGCUGGUCUGAGAGGAUGAUCAGCCACACUGGAACUG
rnacentral:rRNA from 1 species